AAUAAAUUAAAAUGAUUAGGGUUAUGAGUUUGACUCUAUAACAAACAAAUGUGGUGUGUAGUUUUUAUUUAAAGACUUUCUCUAUUACUUUUUUUUUUUUUUAUAAGGCAAGGGCACACUGAAAUAGAAAAGAAAUGGAAGACACUCCAACGGAGUUGCGAUGUCUUACAAAUUUUAGUCCUUGUCAGGUGCUCAUAUAUAUUAUUAAAAAAAGGAAAAAGAAAUACAAAUAAAACUGGGGGGACAUAAACCUAACCCAGUAAUCCACACAUAAGUGUAGGUCGACCCAAGCAGGAAAUACAAAAAAAUUAAACAACACAAGUGAUAAGUCUGCUUCUAAUUAAUCCUAAAACUAAUCAAAGGUCAUAAGUGUGGUGAUUGGACCGUCCGUCAACAUGAAAUCAGGUCCAUGUACCAUCAACUCCCUGCAUAUCACACAAAGCUAAAACGCUCUUUCGAGCCCCACAGUCCAAGUCAAAUAGGGAAUGGCGAUUUCCAAUGGUGCUAGAACUCGAUUCAAUUGCCAACACAGUAACAAGUUCGUACACCUACAGUUCACUGUUACCACAACAGUAAAUUUUGAGAGUGGCGAGUGAAUUCGACCGCCAACACGGUAAUUAGCGAAUCCACACGCACCAACAAUUUACUGCAAUCAUUUAGAGCAAAUUAACAGUCAUUUCUGGCCCAACAGGCAUGACAUGGCUACCCACAGGAAAGGCAACAACACUGUCUUUUUGAAUACGUACAAACAGAACCACUAGUGUGAUGGAGGCAACCCAAACGCCUUGAAAUCUGUAGAUCUCAACAGAUCUGGAAGAAUCAUAUAUCAAAGGCAAGAAACAACCACCAACACAGUGUCGCUGACAUCAACCUCUUACGAACAGAGGAGUUUACAAACCAGAACAACGCCAACCCUUUUUGAGAUCCAAAAAGUACCCAAAGCUUGCCGUGACGGAGAAAGGCCGACGACAUCUUCGACAGCCCCCAGAGGGGAAUUGGUGGUCAGAAAAACAACGGAAAGAGACCACCUCGGCACAAUCGACGAUGGUUGGACGACCCAAACGAGUUAACAGCCCUAAAAGGGUGUUAAACGGCAUUGCGGCAGUAAAGGGCUAGUGCACCGCCGCCAUCGAAGCUACUUCGAAACGACGACCUCUCUAUUACUUAAAUUAAACAGACCUUAUAUUUUUUUCUCUCACUAAUAUCUAUAAUGUAAAUAGCUAUAUGUAUAUAUUUUUUUUAAUAACUAUACUAUAUGUAUAUAUAAUUUGAUAAAAAGUAAUUAUAUUUAGGGUUUUUUAGGGUUAAUUAAGUCAAUGGUCACUAAAAUUUUAUUUUUAGUCUCUACAAAAUAAAAG
rnacentral:lncRNA from 1 species